UACGUAGGGGGCAAGCGUUGUCCGGAUUUAUUGGGCGUAAAGAGCGUGUAGGCGGCCAUGUAGGUCCGUUGUGAAAACUGGAGGCUUAACCUCCAGACGUCGACGGAAACCGCGUGGCUAGAGUCCGGAAGAGGAGAGUGGAAUUCCUGGUGUAGCGGUGAAAUGCGCAGAUAUCAGGAAGAACACCAAUGGCGAAGGCAGCUCUCUGGGACGGUACUGACGCUGAGACGCGAAAGCGUGGGGAGCGAACAGG
rnacentral:rRNA from 1 species